rnacentral:rRNA from 1 species
UACGUAGGGUGCGAGCGUUGUCCGGAAUUAUUGGGCGUAAAGGGCUCGUAGGCGGUUUGUCGCGUCUGCUGUGAAAACCCGAGGCUCAACCUCGGGCCUGCAGUGGGUACGGGCAGACUAGAGUGCGGUAGGGGAGAUUGGAAUUCCUGGUGUAGCGGUGGAAUGCGCAGAUAUCAGGAGGAACACCGAUGGCGAAGGCAGGUCUCUGGGCCACUACUGACGCUGAGAAGCGAAAGCAUGGGGAGCGAACAGG